CCUACGGGAGGCAGCAGUAGGGAAUCUUCCACAAUGGGCGAAAGCCUGAUGGAGCAACGCCGCGUGGGUGAAGAAGGUCUUCGGAUCGUAAAACUCUGUUGUUAGAGAAGAAAGUGCGUGAGAGUAACUGUUCACGUUUCGACGGUAUCUAACCAGAAAGCCACGGCUAACUACGUGCCAGCAGCCGCGGUAAUACGUAGGUGGCAAGCGUUAUCCGGAUUUAUUGGGCGUAAAGGGAACGCAGGCGGUCUUUUAAGUCUGAUGUGAAAGCCUUCGGCUUAACCGGAGUAGUGCAUUGGAAACUGGGAGACUUGAGUGCAGAAGAGGAGAGUGGAAGUCCAUGUGUAGCGGUGAAAUGCGUAGAUAUAUGGAAGAACACCAGUGGCGAAAGCGGCUCUCUGGUCUGUAACUGACGCUGAGGUUCGAAAGCGUGGGUAGCAAACAGGAUUAGAUACCCCUGUAGUC
rnacentral:rRNA from 1 species